rnacentral:rRNA from 1 species
AUCCGGGAUACAGUGGUGCAUGGUUGUCGUCAGCUCGUGUCGUGAGAUGUUGGGUUAAGUCCCGCAACGAGCGCAACCCUUGUCUUUAGCUACCAUCAUUCAGUUGGGGACUCUAGAGAGACUGCCGGUGAUAAACCGGAGGAAGGUGGGGAUGACGUCAAAUCAUCAUGCCCCUUAUGGCCUGGGCUACAAACGUAAUACAAUGGCGUAUACAAAGGGAUGCGAAAGGGCGACCUGGAGCAAAACUCACAAAGUACGUCUCAGUUCAGAUUGGAGUCUGCAACUCGACUCCAUGAAGGCGGAAUCGCUAGUAAUCGCGGAUCAGCAUGCCGCGGUGAAUACGUUCUCGGGGUUU